CCAAAGCACAUUGAGCUGCCUGGCACUUCGAAUUUAAUGCCAUAAUUGUGUGUUGACCCGACUAAUGCAUGCGUAGGAGCAAUGUCUAUAAAUAUAUGCAUGCAUAACGGAAACACUUGCACAUUGCACACUACAUUAGUUAUUUAGUGUUUAUUAAAUAAUUUAUUUGUGCAUAAUUAACACUUUUGACACAUAUUAUUUGGCAUUAAGUAUGUGAUAGCUGCAGUUAAUAUAACACUAAUAUAUGCUUGUAGGUGUUUAAAAUUAAUUCAGCACAAUUAAACAACACUUUAACACAUAAUUCAAUUUUAAAGCAUUCAACAAUUGCCAUUUACCGACUUACUUGUGCCAAGUUUGUGUUGUGUAUGGUUAAGCGCAAGCGAAAAAAGUGCCAGACAAGCGGCACUGCUUGCAGUUCAAGAUGACAAAAGUAAACUAAUUCCGCUCUUGGUAUAUUAUCGGAAUCUAUCCUACAUCCCUGAUAAAGAUAGUUCAUGAAGUGGACCUGGACCUCAAUGCAAUUACACUGAAGAUUCUUAACAGCAUCCUACAGCUAAUCAGACAUUUUAACUCACAGCUCAACUUCUACCAAGCUGAAUACACACAAAGCAAAUCACCUUUACCAAUUAAUUACUAAGCUCUUCAUAUUGUUGUUGCUGCUAUCAGUCGCGCAACUUCGACAAGUCAACGCUGUUUGACAUUUCACAAGCAAAGUUCAUUUCCCCAACAACUCAUUUGUGGUUUAGCUGAACGUCCAGUUUGGAGGAGAAAUAGCGAGAAAAACGCAAACAAAAACAAAAGACAAAUACAUAUGAGAAAAUAUUAAAUUAUGUAUCUCAUAAAACGGAUGUGUAUGUAUCCAUUUUUAAGCAUUAUCCCCAAACACGGCGCAAACUUUUUGCUAGGGCAUGGCAAAUUUCUAAGAGAAAGAGUAGAAAACAGAGAACAACAAUUAAAAUAGCAGCCAGAGUUACCGGCAUUUCACUGUCAUUACAAUUUCAACGCAACACAACAAACGAAUGUGAAAAAUUUACCGACAAUACUACAAACAACGGCCGCAACAAGCUAAACCAAACAAUGACACGGUGGAUAAAAUUCUGUGAUAUGUGUAGAUAACUGUGAUCUGUGCAAUCUGUCUGGUUGUCGGCUAACAGGAAUUGCUGGCAAUGGUUUGGACAAAAACGGUAGUAGAUAUAGAAAAAUAGCAAAUAACGUUGCAUAAAAUAUGUUAGCAAAAAUGCUGAUGUUCAGCAAGCGUGAUGUCAUAUACAUAAGAUGUCAAUUAGCUGGUGGUAUAAGUGGUGGAAACUAAAAAAAAAGGGAAUUUAUCAAAUUGUUAUUGAAAAAGUUGGAUUUAUGUUGGACAUUUGCAUUUCCACAGCAGUUAAUCGUAAAAUAAAAUGUAAUAUAUCAUUACUUAUAAUCAAAGAAUAAUUGUUUCGAAAUACACACACUUCUAAUAUAAUUGAAACUGAAGUUGUUCUUGAGAUUGCCUCAGUUUUGAUUUUUUUAUUAAUUUCACAAUCUACUUUCCCGUUUAUCAAUUUCUGAUUGCUCAUUCGAUUGGCGUUUAAAUAUUUACAUCAGCACUUUCUCUUUCCAAAAAUUGCCAAGCGGUCUUGACUACCUUUGCUGUUUAUAUUUAUGUAUUUUGUAGCUUAGAGAACUGGUAUAUUUAAAUUUUAUGACGCUGUAACUAAGCCA